CAGACUCCAAUGGCUCAGGAACCGGGCAUGCAGUGCCAGGCUCGUGGUAUCCUGCAGCAGAUGUGGGGAGCUUUCCUUCUUUAUGUUGCCAUGAAGAUGGGAGGCACUGCAGGACAAAGCCUUGAGCAGCCCUCUGAAGUGACAGCUGUCGAAGGAGCCAUUGUCCAGAUAAACUGCACGUACCAGACAUCUGGGUUUUAUGGGCUAUCCUGGUACCAGCAACAUGAUGGCAGAGCACCCACAUUUCUUUCUUACAUUGUCUGGAUGGUUUGGAGGAGAGAGGUCGUUUUUCUUCAUUCCUUAGUCGCUCUGAUAGCUAUGGUUACCUCCUUCUACAGGAGCUCCAGAUGAAAGACUCUGCCUCUUACUUCUGCGCUGUGAGAGACACAGUGACUGUGAGGCCUCCUUAA